AGUCCCGCUAGGGAGACAAUAGGAUAUCUGUACAAUGUAUACAAUGGGUUGUUUAUAUGGCCCAAUAUGAAAUAAAAUUAAAAAUAACCCACAUUUAUUCUAUAUUCAAAAGGGAUGUUCAUUUUUUAUGUUUAACAAAACCACAUAAUCCCUAAUCCUAAUUUUCAUCCAUUCCUCUAAUCUCAACUGACGGUAACCCUAUCCAGAACAGCUACCCAAAGUCGCCGCUGAACAUCCCAUCCCCGCGCCUCCACCCGACCUUGAACCUGCACCGACGGUGAACAGAACUGUAGCGCCAUUGCCUCCUUCGCACGCGUCAACCCUCCCAGGCAGCAACCGAUUCGCUCCCUUGCCGCUGCACGUCCUACCGCCGCAGGACCUGGAGCCUCCAUCAGCGCCGACCCGAAGUGCACCGCCCAUCCUUCCUACGCGCGCGUCGACCGUGCCUGGUGACAGCUAUUUCGCUUGGCAAGGGAACUCUGGAUCGGGUGUCUUUUGCAGCGCCAAUAACACGGGUCGGGUGCGUGACCUGCGUCAGCCUGCGGGCUGGGUCCUGCUUCCGGGGUCCGCCAGUUGAAGCCGUGAGCACAGAUUGUCGUCGACAACCCACGGUUAUAUACCGAAGAGCAUCUUGCACUGGGUUGCAGAGGACAUAGUGAAUAAUUACCCAGUAACUACGUUCCAACUGUCCUGAAUUCUGCAGUCGUCAAAGAAAAAUCAGAUGGGCAAAUGACUUGAAUUUGGUUAAGCAUUGAAUUCAUGAUCGUUAACUUUGAACAAAGUUCUUGUGAUUUAAAGUAGGCUGCUUAUGUUUUAGCGUAACGUUGAAUUUGCUUGUUUGGCUAAUGUACUGGUUAAAGUAUUGGGAGUUUAUUAUGGGACAGUAGCAGGACGUAGUUGUGGUCGAUCUUUUUACUUUUUGAAUUCUUGUGACUCUGUUGAUCUAUAAUUAUUUAGGCAUGACAUAGUUACUAGUUAAUCAAAAUGAACAUCCAUGUUGUUUAUGAAAAUAACCAUCCAUAUGCUUAUUGAAAUGAACAUCCAGCUUCUUAUGCCUUGAUUCA